rnacentral:lncRNA from 1 species
UGUCCGUCGCGCUCUCUUCUUCUUGCUGUUCCCAUUGGCGGAGACGUUGGAUCCUCCAUUUUUGUGAUUUGGUCAAACCAUCGGGGCACCACCUGGGGUUUAUUGGCCUCCCUUCUUUCCUGGCGCGUUCCCACUCCGGUUCGCGUCCUAACGGGUUCUCGUCCGUCACCCGAGCAUCGGCCAUGUCUUCGAGCCGGCUAUGAACGCUGGCUUUGUUGUUUGACUGAUCAUGUCGAUCAGCC